rnacentral:rRNA from 1 species
GACAGAGGCCCCGAGCGUUAGGCGGAAUCACUGGGCUUAAAGCGUGUGUAGGCGGGCCCGUAAGUGUCUUGUGAAAUCCCACGGCUCAACCGUGGAACUGCUGGGCAUACUGCGGGUCUUGGGCCAACUAGGGGCAGCCGGAACAAGCGGUGGAGCGGUGAAAUGCGUAGAUAUCGCUUGGAACGCCAAUGGUGAAAACAGCUCGCUGGGGGUUUGCUGACGCUGAGACACGAAAGCCAGGGGAGCAAACGGG